AUUUCUCUCCCGGGAUUCCCGACUGUGACUCGAGAACGAAGCCAACUGUACUACGGGACAUGGAACGAUCAAGUCUCCGCACAAACUCCAUUUAAAGCAUAUUCCCGGAAGUGGGUCAAGAGUGCUAGGAGCUUGCUCCACCUUUGCCGCGGAUCGGCCCGGUAUUGCAGUACCGCUGGGAUCGGUCCACUCCCU